rnacentral:lncRNA from 1 species
CUCACUCAUGCCCUCUCCCUCUAGUGUGGGAAAACAAGAGGAACCUCCAAAAUUUCCUAGCUGCACAAAGAAAUUGGUGGAAAUUCACUUCAUUUUGAAGCUCGGGGUUUCUAUGUGGUUGAUUUAAUCAAAAUAUUAAUGUGAUUUUUCUAGAAGAAGAAAAAGGGAAAAUAUAAAAAUCAUGCUGAUUGGAUUUGAAUAGAUUGUAUUGAUCAUAUAUGAAUAUUAUCUUUCAUCCAGAUUGGAAAGUACUGUUUUGAAAUCCAGUCCUUCACACUUCCAAACUGAUCAUUUUUAAUAAGUAAAUGUCAUUUUGGCUUUUUUUUUUUUUUUCUGGUCAGGAAGAAAAACAAGAAGUUUCCUUCCGCAAACUUCCUAAAAGGUGCCAUGUGUUUUCCUAAAACCAAGGAAAAUUCUAAAAUAGAACUACCAUAUGAUUCAGCAAUCCCACUUCUCUAAAUCUCCAGAAUCUCCAGGGAUUGGAACCAAGUGCUUUAUCUUUACCAUAUACCAAUCCAUGAAUCAACUCCAAAACAGAUCUCUAGAAACAGACAAGACUGACUACUGCCUGAAGGUUUCUGACACCAAGUUCCUGAGAUGUACCAAAUAUGAAAUAAUUUUAGAAUUCGAUCUCAAAUGGCCCUUUUGCAAACUCCAAAAUGUUGUGUAAGUCCAUUUUCUCUUUUGCAUUAUUCUCACAAACAUACUAAAACGUGAUUUGAUGUCUUCUAUUUAUAUUAGUGGUUCAAACAGUUUUAAGCAUACGAAUUAUUUUUCUUCUUAUUUUUUAGAACAUCCUCUUAGGUAGUGCUUCUUCUGUUACCAGUGACAUAAAUGAUCUUUUGUAUCAUAUAACUUAAAGGUUAAAGGGUCAGCUGACUUUUGGUGACAUUAGAUUAUAAAUUCAGGUGAUGUCAUUGGACUCUCUUUACUCAAGUCUCAUCUCUGCUUUCCUUGCAUUUAGGGUUGUCAGAUAAAAUAAUGUCUCCUUAAAUUUAAAUUUCAGAGAGACAAUAAAGAAUGUUUAAUAUAAGUGUAUCACAUACAUUCCAUGGGACAUGCUAUGUUUAGUCUUGCUGUUGUCAUUUUUUUUCCCUGUAAAUCGACACAAAUAUCAAAUUGUUCUCAGGUGGACUUUCUUCAGCUGUCCACUCUUACCAAAAUCUCUAAAUUUAUGCCCCGCAGAUUAGUCACUAAAGAGAAAAGUGAGUGUCUUUUUUCUUAAAGUCUCCAAUUGGGUCUUAUUGGAACAAAUUGAGUAAUAGUCCUCAAACAAUUGCUAUGACCUAAGAGAUAAAAUAUACUCAUUUGUUAGGUCUGGAUCAUACAAGGCAGAAGGCAUGAAUGUGUCAGCUUCACCAAACCAUAUACACUGAGAGUCAUUGAGAGGCUACUGCCAGAAAGAAAAACAAGGUUCAGUGGGGAAAUGUAUAUUAGACAACAAAAAGCAAAAUAUGACUAGCGGAGAACUUUCUUAAUAUGGCUCUACUUUUAAUAUCCUUGAUUCAUAAUAAUAAUAAAUCUAAUAUAAAUUCAGGUAUAUUUUAAAGUGAUGUGCAUUUUAUCAGCCGCAGCUAAUUCACUCUUUAUAUUGUAUUGAACAUUAAUAAAUAUCAACAGCUCAAUGUGUGGGCAGCAUGGAUUAACAGGCACCUUGCAGUAAUUGUGUGGCAAAGAGAGCAGUUGAAUUUCUGUCAGGAAAAUAGCAUUUCUCACAUUACACAGCCCUGGAGUCUGGUCUUAUCUCUAUCUCUUAUACCUCUGAACAAAGUAAUUCAACUCUCUAAGAAUCUUGAACUGUAAUCUGGGAAUUUAAUAAUCUGCUUCACUGGAUUAUUCAAGUGAUGUUAAGAUAAUGUUUCAAAUUACCAUAGCAUAGCAGCUGGCAUAUUGUAAUCUCUCAGAAAGGUUAACUGGAUUAUUAUCAGCAAUGACCUUAAAAUAAUCUUUCAAGUUGAUAUGAUUUGGCUCUGUGUCCCCACCCAAUUCUCAUCUCAAAUUGUAAU